UGCUGUGAGGGUGAUCUGUCACCCCACUGAUCACCAGGAUUGAUCUUGCUGGCUAGGUGGGUGUCCCCUUCUUCCCUCAUCCUUCCAUGUGCAUCCCUAAAGUUGUACCUCAGUGGAAAAGGACAACCAGCCCAGAUAGGAGUAUAUUGUUCUUCGGUCAAGAGUGUACGAUAGCUGCUGCAUUACCUAUAAGUAAAGAAAGACUGAAGCAAAGCCUCCAACAACUUCCCUUGUU
rnacentral:snRNA from 1 species